UGAGUUUAAUUGAUAAACUUAGACAGAUCUAUCCAUCAAACUUUACUAACUUACAGGCCGUUGUGAACUUCAAAUACUGGCUCUGGAAGGUAAACCUAACCAAUUUGGUGGGGCCCGGUUUGGGACAUGGGAACAAAGCAACAAAGGAAGGAUUGUCCCAAACAGCCAAAUGAUCUGUGUCGUAUAGAUUCUGACUAAAGUUUCUGAGCCACUGUUCAGCUUUUUAAAACCACUUUAUGGCUUCUGGCUUCCAGCUCUGCAUUUUGCACGCAGAUUGAGGAAUUUCUCAGACUGUAAAUCAUGAAGCAGUCGACUUUCGGUUCACUACAAUAAUGCAACACAACUCCUUGCGCUUCGUAACUGACUGUCUCAGUCAACUUUGUCGUUCUGCCAAUGCACUGGCGCCCAGUAAGCACUACCCAUUUGUCACAUCUCCGUCGCUAAUGGUCAUCGGGUAAUCACCCGCUGAUUAUGAUUAGGGAUAAAUUGCACAGAUAAUGCUAGAUUACUCCAAGUACUUGGUUUGCAGAAAGAAAGAGGAAGUGGAAAGGACUGGUGUGUGGGUACUCAUUUUACUUUAAAUGAUUGCCCAGCUCCUGCUUCAGCCUGGAAGACAUGAUGGACCGCACAAUCCAGAAUCUGGAAAAUUUGGUGAAGGACUCCUUGAACAUGGAGCACUGGGCGGUGGGUACAUGGAUGGAACAGCCCACAUACCCAUCCACAAUCAUCCACCAAAAGCCCUGUACUAAACUGGCCUUAAUUAUGCAACUCAUGAGUAAUCCUGAGGUGGACACUCAAGUUGUCCCUUGCAAAAUCUUUUCAUGUGGGUUGUCACGGUACACGGGCAGUACAUAGCAAGAAUUUGUAGGGGGGAGGGGGGGGGCUCCAUCCUAUGUGAAAGGUUAUUUAUGUACCAAGCUAUGGAGCAAAAGAGAUAAAAAAGAAAGAAAAAAAAGAUCAAUGGCUGCAACAGAGGCUAGAUUUUGAAGUGGGUGAAGCUUUAGGGAGAUGAGGGCAAACUCUUAAGGAUUAUGUGAGAACCCUCGAGAGCUUUUCGAACGCCGCAAGCAAUCACAUGCGACGAGCCUCAAGAAUGGUGAGAGGCUCACCAUCUUUGAGAUCGAUGAGGAACAAGGAAGCGAUGGAGGAGAGAGUCGUAGCAUUCUAGUUUGCUCCGCUGCCUUCUUGCCGUUGAGCCUCUCUCAUCUCUCAAGCUAGCCCUAGCUCACGGGCUUAUGUCUCUCCUGCAUACCACCUUCGCCACUUGCUUCCAGGUUGCAGAGUGUUCAGUCCUUCGCAUCGUGAGCUUCCUGUGUUUUACGAGUGAUCCUUUGACGCUUUCCAAUUGAGUUGUAGUUGUUUGGGUCCGACCUGCAUGUAUUAGAGGUGAUUCGAUGAUCUCUGCAGAGCAGCUUGCACUUGUGACACAUAUAGGAACCUGAGAUGCUACGUCAUCUGAAUAUGCUGUGUACUUUCAAUUGACUAUGUCGCUGGUUCCAUCUGCGACAAACUCUUUUUGUCGAAACAUGGUGGCUAAGAGCGUGUUUUGUGGAGCUACGGAGAUUCUGCUUAGAAUCACUCGCUUAUUGUUGCCUCAGAUGAUGGCAUUUUCUCUGGUUAGCUUGGUGGUAGAUUUGUGUGUGUACUUCGAUAAAAAUACAACCAGGUAUAUGUAAUACUGAUGAACCAGUUAGAAUGAGAAAGUUCAACUGUUGUACAGGUAUAAUAGUUCGUCUUUGUUAUGAAGGUUGAAGGCUGUCGAGUUAGUAUCUAAUUUCUAAAGAACUAGAAUCAGUAUAUGUUUAAGGAAUACGUAUGCACAAACUUGGUGAUCUCACAAUUCCUGUUGUGGAAAAGAGUGAUAUUCAGCUUUUUAAUUUUUUUUAUUGUAGAUUUUUUAUUUUUUAUUUUUUAUUUUUUUCCAAAUGUAUUGCAUAAUUGGCAAUACCAUUUUUUGUAGAAGGAUUUGUCACAGUUGAAUAUAGCAGGGUUUUGAUUAAUUGAUUUGUUCAUGAAGGGGAGUCUAUUGUGUUUGUCUUUUAAUUUUGAAGGAAUUUACUUGAAACAGCAUAUCAUAA